rnacentral:rRNA from 1 species
GAUGAACGCUGGCGGCGUGCCUAAUACAUGCAAGUCGAGCGAACAGACGAGGAGCUUGCUCCUCUGACGUUAGCGGCGGACGGGUGAGUAACACGUGGAUAACCUACCUAUAAGACUGGGAUAACUUCGGGAAACCGGAGCUAAUACCGGGUAAUAUAUUGAACCGCAUGGUUCAAUAGUGAAAGACGGUUUUGCUGUCACUUAUAGAUGGAUCCGCGCCGCAUUAGCUAGUUGGUAAGGUAACGGCUUACCAAGGCGACGAUGCGUAGCCGACCUGAGAGGGUGAUCGGCCACACUGGAACUGAGACACGGUCCAGACUCCUACGGGAGGUAGCAGUAGGGAAUCUUCCGCAAUGGGCGAAAGCCUGACGGAGCAACGCCGCGUGAGUGAUGAAGGUCUUCGGAUCGUAAAACUCUGUUAUUAGGGAAGAACAAAUGUGUAAGUAACUAUGCACGUCUUGACGGUACCUAAUCAGAAAGCCACGGCUAACUACGUG